rnacentral:rRNA from 1 species
GACAGAGGGUGCAAACGUUGUUCGGAAUUACUGGGCGUAAAGCGUGUGUAGGCGGCCUCGUAAGUCGGAUGUGAAAGCCCCAGGCUUAACCUGGGAAGUGCACUCGAAACUGCGAGGCUUGAGUAUCGGAGAGGUUGGUGGAAUUCUCGGUGUAGAGGUGAAAUUCGUAGAUAUCGAGAGGAACACCGGUGGCGAAGGCGGCCAACUGGACGAAUACUGACGCUGAGACACGAAAGCGUGGGGAGCGAACAGG